AUUGAACGCUGGCGGCAGGCCUAACACAUGCAAGUCGAACGAGUGGCGGACGGGUGAGUAAUGUCUGGGAAACUGCCCGAUGGAGGGGGAUAACUACUGGAAACGGUAGCUAAUACCGCAUACCAUCGGAUGUUCCCAGAUGGGAUUAGCUAGUAGGUGGGGUAACGGCUCACCUAGGCGACGGUACCUCGCUGGUCUGAGCGGAUGACCAGCCAGACUGGAACUGAGACACGUGCCAGACUCUGACGGGAGGCAGCAGUGGGGAAUAGUGCACAAUGGGCGCAAGCCUGAUGCAGCCAUGCCGCGUGUAGGAAGAAGGCCUUCGGGUUGUAAAGUAUUUUCAGCGGGGAGGCGUUACCCGCAGAAGAAGCACCGGCUAACUCCGUGCCAGCAGCCGCGGUAAUUC
rnacentral:rRNA from 1 species